rnacentral:rRNA from 1 species
UGAGCAAUCUGCCCUUCUCUUCGGAAUAAGCGUUGGAAACGACGUCUAAUGCCGAAUACGACCUCCUUUCGCAUGAUCGGAGGUGGAAAGCUCCGGCGGAGAAGGAUGAGCUCGCGGCCUAUCAGCUAGUUGGUGUGGGUAACGGCCCACCAAGGCGACGACGGGUAGCCGGCCUGAGAGGGUGACCGGCCACACUGGGACUGAGACACGGCCCAGACCUCCGUACGGGAGGCAGCAGG